UACGUAGGGUGCGAGCGUUGUCCGGAAUUACUGGGCGUAAAGAGCUCGUAGGCGGCUUGUCGCGUCGUUCGUGAAAACCUGCAGCUCAACUGCAGGCUUGCGGUCGAUACGGGCAGGCUAGAGUUCGGUAGGGGAGACUGGAAUUCCUGGUGUAGCGGUGAAAUGCGCAGACUAUCAGGAGGAACACCGGUGGCGAAGGCGGGUCUCU
rnacentral:rRNA from 1 species